rnacentral:lncRNA from 1 species
CGGGUUGACCAAUUUUAAUUUUAAAUCGCGAAUCAAAUCUCGGGCUUGAGAUUGAAUUGUCGAUUUUUAUAAGGGAUUGCGAGUCAGAUUUCGGGCGCGAAAAUCGGACUAUCAAUCCCUAGCUUGAGGGACACUUUCAUGUUGGAAUCUCAAUCAAACAUUUAAGAAGAACAAUAAACAAAACCAGAUAUAAAGGAAAAUAAAAAGCCUAUAACCGGAUGAGCAAUAAUUUUUAAAUAAAAAAUCUACCUAAUUCACUUUUCCCUUUUUUUUCUUCUUUCCUUUCCCACGUGUGACC